GAUGAACGCUGGCGGCGUGCCUAAUACAUGCAAGUCGAGCGAACAGAUGAGGAGCUUGCUCCUCUGACGUUAGCGGCGGACGGGUGAGUAACACGUGGAUAACCUACCUAUAAGACUGGGAUAACUUCGGGAAACCGGAGCUAAUACCGGAUAAUAUAUUGAACCGCAUGGUUCAAUAGUGAAAGACGGUUUUGCUGUCACUUAUAGAUGGAUCCGCGCCGCAUUAGCUAGUUGGUAAGGUAACGGCUUACCAAGGCAACGAUGCGUAGCCGACCUGAGAGGGUGAUCGGCCACACUGGAACUGAGACACGGUCCAGACUCCUACGGGAGGCAGCAGUGGGGAAUCUUCCGCAAUGGGCGAAAGCCUGACGGAGCAACGCCGCGUGAGUGAUGAAGGUCUUCGGAUCGUAAAACUCUGUUAUUAGGGAAGAAAAACUGUGUAAGUAACUAUGCACGUCUUGACGGUACCUAAUCAGAAAGCCACGGCUAACUACGUG
rnacentral:rRNA from 1 species